ACUCCUACGGGAGGCAGCAGUGGGGAAUAUUGCACAAUGGGCGCAAGCCUGAUGCAGCCAUGCCGCGUGUGUGAAGAAGGCCUUCGGGUUGUAAAGCACUUUCAGUCGUGAGGAAGGUAGUGUAGUUAAUAGCUGCAUUAUUUGACGUUAGCGACAUAGAAGACCGCGUAACUCCGUGCCAGCAGCCGCGGUAAUACGGAGGGUGCGAGCGUUAAUCGGAAUUACUGGGCGUAAAGCGCAUGCAGGUGGUUUGUUAAGUCAGAUGUGAAAGCCCGGGGCUCAACCUCGGAAUUGCAUUUGAAACUGGCAGACUAGAGUACUGUAGAGGGGGGUAGAAUUUCAGGUGUAGCGGUGAAAUGCGUAGAGAUCUGAAGGAAUACCGGUGGCGAAGGCGGCCCCCUGGACAGAUACUGACACUCAGAUGCGAAAGCGUGGGGAGCAAACAGGAUUAGAUACCCUGGUAGGAUAGCGU
rnacentral:rRNA from 1 species